UCUGACUAUGUGGUAUGUAUAUGCGAAGGGUAGAUAUAUGAUAGGUAUUAAUACUUUUCGAGCUUAGUUAAUCCGUCUGAUCCGACGACUGAAAUACUAUUUUGCCAUCGUAUAGAAUUGAACGAGACGUUGAUCGAGGCAUUGAUCGAGAAGUGAUUGAAAUGGGUAUUCAAAAAUAGCUAAGUUGUGUUGCAAGUUGAAGUUAGGCAGAGAUUGCUAUAGAUAGAAUCUUGUCAGAAGCUGGCAGAAAGGAAUGAUAUGGCACUACAUAGUGUUAUUAGAAAUCUGAGCUAGACACCGGAGUUAAGGCAAGUAUAUAUCCAACCUACUUUCUCUUUAAAAGAUUUUGCUCCUGCAAUGCUUUUGUUAUGCUUUGAAUAUUGCAAAACUCCUUAUAGAAUUAGACUUCUACUAAUUACGAGUAUUCUGGAAUUACCCAAGUAUGAAUGGAAUACCCUUUGUCACUUAUAUCUUGCAAAUGUAUCAACUUAAUUAUCAUCCUUAUCUUCUUCAACUGCUAGUUACUUAUUAUUGAGCUUAGAACCUUGUUUUCUUACCUCCCUUUUAACUACAACAAAUUGUGUUCUUGCUUAUAAAAAAAACUAGUUCACUUGUUUGUUCCUGACCCAGAAAUGAAACCCCAUUUCUUGAAAGACCUUAGUUAUCAUCAUACAACCUACCCUGCCAUUAUUAUAAAAUACAUUGAUACACUUGAUUCAGUAACCUAUACCCUUGAUAAAGAAUACUUAAUUAGUAGAAAUCUAAUGCUAAGGUGUUGAAAUGAAUAUUUGGUUGAGAAUCAAUGUUGCUUACAGAUUUUGAACCUUGGUCUUAAAAUGAAAAAUGAUUUGAUUUAUUUGUUUUAGAAAGGGAAUUGGAUGAAAAUGUUUUAUGACCGAGGCGCCGGUCCCAAUUGAAUUAUUAAAGGCCAAAGUGUGCCUAGGAUCCUUUAUAUUUGAGAACUCGUAUUGAAUAUGCGGGUUCGGAGCUAUGUCGUGGGCUGAUCACCCAGCUUAGCUCGUAGCGUCUUAUCUGGUUCCAAUUCCAUAAAGGAGAAACUGUUUUGUUUAAAUCAUAUUGUGUUGGUAUCAUUAUCUUUAUAUCAUUGUCAGGUUUUACAUACUGUUUGAUUUAUUGUUGGUUUGGAUAUUAUAUACUUGCUGAGCAUUCUUUUGCUCAUUCUUGCUAUUUCUUCUAACCCCUUUCAGAUAAUGUUAAAGAUGGUUCGCCUAUUUAGGCUAAGCAUAAGAGUAAGGCUAGGCGAGGAUUGCAAGUGACUAAGUUUCAACCUGAUGGUCAGGAAGAGUAUCCAAGAUCGAGUCUUUGGGACUAGUGGUAAUUAGAGUUGUCUAAAUUUGAUUUAGUUGUAAAAACAUGUAAUAGGAUUUAUUAGUUUUACUUUUCUGAUUUCAAUACUAUAGCCUGUUUGCGAUCCUGUUUUAAAGGGGGUUAAACUUUGUUCUUUUAAAUCUUUUAUUAAAGCUUUUAGGUUUUCAAUUCUUUGAUUUUUAUUAGUUUUUCAACAAUACAUGUUUCAAAAGUGUAAAUCAAAUUUUUUUAAUAUCCAGGUUUGAAAUACUUGUUUUUACUUUCUUUAGAAAAA
rnacentral:lncRNA from 1 species